CAGAAUAACCGUUCAUACAGCCAGUAAAGAAAAUGAAAGGACUAAAAACAAUACUAAGACACUAGUAAAAACACUAAGCAGGAAAGAAAGCUCCAGAACCUCAUCUUCCUUGUUCAAAGCAAACUAAAGCCAGCUAAAUACUCUAAACUUUGUAAAACUUUCAGGCCAAAGGAUAGCAUGCAGAUAAACGCCACAAAGCUUGGGGAAAGUAACAACGGUGGAGAAAAGAGAUAAACAUGAAUACCGUCGAUUAUAGGACAAAUCGUUCCGAUACGCCUCAGCCCGGAUCAACCCAUCGUCGAUCACCAUCAACUAGUGGAAUAAUAGCGUCAGAUCAAGAACCAAAGAAUCUGAUUUGGAUCGGGGAAAAACCAAAGUUGUCGAUUAGCCGUCCCAUUCCGAUUACCGUUGCCCGAGAUUUUGGAGAUUAGUUACGAGCUCGGGGAUCGUCAGCAAAGUCUAUCACACUAUCGACUGUUUUUGGUAUUUUAUAAGUUUAAACUUGAACCUAUGGCAUGUAUAAGCUAGAUUGUAUUUGGUCAAGUUUAAAGUAUGUAUAUAUUAAGCCAUGCAAAAAUGGCUAAUAUGUUAUGUGAGAAUAUGAAAAUUUAGUCAAGUUUAUAUGUGUUAUAUGCUUUGGAAAUGGUUAAUGAUUUUGGAUGUAUAUGUGGAUGAUUCGGCUAUGGUUUAUGCAUAGAUAAAAGUAUAUGUGAAUUUGGUUGUUAUGUUUGA